rnacentral:rRNA from 1 species
CCUACGGGUGGCAGCAGUGGGGAAUAUUGGGCAAUGGGCGCAAGCCUGACCCAGCAACGCAGCGUGAAGGAAGAAGGCUUUCGGGUUGUAAAAUUCCUUUUAUAGGGAAGAGUAGAAGACGGUACCUGCCGAUUAAGCCACGGCUAACUACGUGCCAGCAGCCGCGGCAAUACGUAGGUGGCAAGUGUUGUCCGGAUUUACUGGGUGUAAAGGGCGUGUAGCCGGGUUGACAAGUCAGAUGUGAAAUCCUGCGGCUUAACCGCAGAACUGCAUUUGAAAUUGGUGGUCUUGAGUACUGUGGAGGCAGACGGAAUUCGUAGUGUAGCGGUGAAAUGCGUAGAUAUUAGGAGGAACACCGGUGGCGAAGGCGGUCUGCUAGACAGCAACUGACGGUGAGGCGCGAAAGCGUGGGGAGCAAACAGGAUUAGAUACCCGUGUAGUC